UAUUAGUUGGUGCAAAAGUAAUUGCGGUUUUUGUCAUUACUUUUAAAUGACAAAAACUGCAAUUACUUUUGCACCAACCUAAUACU
rnacentral:miRNA from 1 species